AAAUUAGUGUACAAUUUUCUUAUCAUGAAAAACUUCUCAUUUUUAGAAAAACAAACUGUGGUAUAUCCAGACAAUGAAAUAUCAUUCGGCACCCAAUAGAAAUGACCUAUUAUGCCUUGAAACAACACGGAGGACCCUUAAAUGCAUGUGCUAAGUGAAAGAAGCCAGUCCGAAAACACUGUAUGACUCCAACUGUAUACAUUCCGAAAAAGGCAAAAUUGUAGAGAUGAUAAAAAGAUUAGUGGUGCCAGGGGGUGGGAGGUGGGAGGGUGAUGAAGAGUGGAGCACAGGGGCUGUUUAGGGCAGUGAAACUACUCUGCAGGAUACUGUCUACACUUGUCAGAACCCAUAGAAUGUGCACCACCAACAGCGAAGGCUGUGGGGAGUUAUUGUUUAAUGGGCAACAGAGUUUCAGUUUGGGAGAUGGGUGGUGGUGAUAUUUGUACAACAGCAUGAAUGUACUUUUUUUUUUUUUGAGGAAGAUUAGCCCUGAGCUAACAUCCCCUGCCAAUCCUCCUCUUUUUCUGAGGAAGACUGGCCCUGAGCUAACAUCCAUGCCCAUCUUCCUCUACUUUAUACGUGGGACGCCUACCACAGCAUGGCUUGCCAAGCGGUGCCAUGUCCACACCCGGGAUCUGAACCGGUGAACGCCGGGCCGCUGAAGGGGAAAGUGCGAACUUAAUGGCUGUGCCACCAGGCUGGCCCCUAGCGUGAAUGUACUUAAUGCCGCUGAACUGCACACUUAAAAAUGACGAGAAAGCAGAGGCCGCAGAGAGGACCAACGACUUCCGAUCACAGCCCCUCCGCCUCAUGUGACCGGGCUUCAGGAACGCUGACGCACUUUGAGGACCGGCCGGAAUAACUUCCAAAGGGCGUAAGGAUGAAAGGGCUGACCCAGAAAGACAUUCCCCAAGCUGUCUUUCAGCUCUGUUGUUCUGUAGUUUUUAUCCUCCUACAAACCAGGAGCUGAGAGCACCAAGCCCUGUGUUUGAAGAAGCGUGCUUUCCAGACAUGAGGAAGCCCCUGAAGGAUCUUGGGCAAGAGAGUGACGUGAUCAAUCAUAGCUUUUAGAAGAGGGGCGGCCUGGAGGAUGGGCUCUGCUGUGGAGAGGAGGGCAUGCUCCAUGUGCAGGAGGUGGUUGAAGCCACGAGAGUGAAUGAGACCACCCAGGAGGGGACAGGGUGUGAAGCGAAGAGGGAGCCUGAGGGGACAGCAGCCUGGAGAGGAUGAUCCAGAAAGACAGAAAGAAAGUUAAAAUUACUUACGACCCCAUUUCCCGGAGAAAGACAUGGUUAAUAUUUUGCUGUGUAUUCCAGUGUGUUUUCAUCGAUGGGCACACGUGUUC
rnacentral:lncRNA from 1 species